rnacentral:misc_RNA from 1 species
GUAACCCAUGCAAGAUACAUAAGACUUAUCCUUUAUAAUAUAAAAUCGGAUGUAUGCAAGAAAUUUCCAAAACAAACCGCUACUGGGCGCUGGCUAAGGUAAUUUUAUAUAUGCUUUGCGACUCCUCUGGGAUGACUAAAGGUUGAAUCAUAUGGCUCUACUUAAAAGGACGGUGCUCUUGCAGUUCAACUCUGCUCCUUCCGCGGUGGAUCUCACAGGGUCGGUUUCAUUUUCAUGGAUAAUGUUAUUGGAGAAGAUUAGUGUAGAUGUCACUCUUAUUGUUUGUUUCUUGUGGAGUAUUCAAAUUCAAUUCAGCUUUAGACACAGCGGCGAGGAUCAGUUGAGAAGCCGUCCAAUGGGUGAUCCAUAACAACCACGUCCAUGUUCUUUCUUACAAAUCACAAUAGUUUUCCCUUGCUCAAUGUCAAUGAAGAAACAAGCAAGAAAAAGAAAAUAAGGGACUAAACAUUUAUUG